CAGAUAAAACCGUCCACACGACAGUUAGAGGCUGUAAUUCACUCUGUGGCGAGGACGAAGCAAGAAGGACUGUUUUAAUCACUACGGUGAGCGGACCACAACUUUUCAGCUACCAGAUUUACAGCUUUCCUGCUCUGAUGUGUGCGUUGGGUUAGAGGGGAAAAUUAACCUGCAGGACAAGGACGCGACCAUCAGAUAACGCAGCCUUCUUCCAGACCAGCGUGGGGGUGUGCAGCAAACUGUGAUGCAACAAGUAGUCAAACCACUGCAGCCUGAGAACAUUUUCAUGCAAGGUGCCAGAAAUCCUUAUUUGCCCUGUGAAGGAAAAUGGGAGCAGACCCGCCAGUGGUUGAGUCAGUUUCUGCCAGACUACUUCAGAUCCUGUCUGGAACACCACCAAUCCAUAGGUUCACCUGACAUCUCAAGCUCGUUUGACUGAAUAGGUUUGUGACAUUAAACCAUGUGGAUUCGUUUAAAAAAAGAGCUGAGCACGCGAUCAUGACAUUUCACCUGCAUACUUGGAUAAGCUUGAGCAAGAUAAGGAGAGCCAUGGAUCAUUCCAGCCAGAGAUGGCGAUGCUGUCGAGCAUGUUUCCUGCAGCACGAGUUCCUCUAAUAAGCUCAAUUAAAAUACAGAUAUUAAAUUAAA